rnacentral:snoRNA from 1 species
UCCCUCUCAGGGUCACACCUUGAGAGUUCCCAGUACUCUACCAGUCUCGACUAUAGGAGGGAGAGUCAGGCAGAGGCAUAUCCAUUCCAUUCCUAGCUUGGGCAGUGGCUAGCGAGUGGCAGGCAAUCUGCUGCAAGU